AAUGGUAAUAAAAGGCUCAAUUAUCUAAGUUUAUGUUAUUUAUUACAUAUUCCCAUUUACGACACGCUAAAUUUUUUUUCAUCUCAUCACGGUAUCUAUAUAUAAACAAGAGGAUUUGUACAAAUAACUCAGUUUCGUCGCUACGGUAAAAGAAUGGAACCUUCCAUGUCAGUUGAUGUUCAAAAGUGCUAAGGAUGUAAUUACCGUUUCGGUGUAUAGUUAACGUUCGAGUAUUUGUGUGACUAUUAUACUUGCUAGUGUUAAUCUAUUCCGUUUUCUUCGAUGAAUACUUGCCGCUGAACAUUUUUGUCCGAAAGAUUCGCUUCGGAAAGAGAAUGAGAUGGAAUUUUUAGUUUUUUGGGGAAUGCAGAAGAUCUUAAGGGUUUCCCCAGCACACAAAUUUAGAGAAAGGAAGAGGUCACAUCAUUAUCAUCUACUGAUCUCCGUUAUUGGCGUGCAGUCCCCUACAGGCGAAUGACCAGCAUGCCCUAUGCACAGAAACAAACGAAAACAUAUCCAGGUCGUUGCUUUCUAGUUCGUAAUGGAUCUGGGGACCAGUUGCAAGUUCUUACUUAGAGGAUGAGAGGUACAUGGGAAAUUCUAUCAGUUUUCAUCCCUCCUCAUUCAGUUAAG